CAAUAGCGUACAUUAAAGUUGUUGCAGUUAAAAAGCUCGUAGUUGAAUUUUUGCUUGCCGCCGAUGUCGGAACUUCCGUACGUUCGGCGGCGUGCAUCCUUGGGUGGAACCUGUGUGGCAUUAGGUUGUCGUGCAGGGGAUGCUCAUCGUUUACUGUGAAAAAAUUAGAGUGUUCAAAGCAGGCUUACGCCGUUGAAUAUAUUAGCAUGGAAUAAUAAGAUAGGACCUUGGUACUAUUUUGUUGGUUUGCGCACCGAGGUAAUGAUUAACAGGGACAGUUGGGGGUAUUCGUAUUCCGCUGUCAGAGGUGAAAUUCUUGGAUUUACGGAAGACGAACUACUGCGAAAGCAUUUACCAAGGAUGUUUUCAUUAA
rnacentral:rRNA from 1 species